AGGCCAAUCAAACCCGGAGAUAUCUCGUUCUCCCCGAAAUAGCUUUAGGGCUAGCGUCGCGCGUUCACCGCCGGAGGUAGAGCACCGGAUGGACGAGGGGGCUUCGCCGCCUACCGAAUCCAACCGAACUCCGAAUGCCGGCGGCCCAGAGCGCGGCAGUCAGAGCAUGUGGGCUAAGCUGUGUGCUCGAGAGGGAAACAGCCCGGACCGCCCGCUAAGGUCCCCAAGUUCCAGCCGAGUGGCAAAGGAUGUGCGUCCGCCCAGACAACCAGGAUGUUGGCUUAGAAGCAGCCAUCCAUUCAAAGAGUGCGUAACAGCUCACUGGUCGAGUGGACAUGCGCCGACAAUACACGGGGCUAAGCUGGACACCGAAGCGGCGGGAUUUUAAUUCAUUAGAAUCGGUAGGGGAGCUUCCCAUGGGCGGAGAAGCCGGAGGGCGACCGACGGUGGAGCGCAUGGGAGUGAGAAUGCUGGCAUGAGUAGCGAGAGACGAGAGAGUAACUCGUCCGCCGUGAACCCGAGGUUUCCUGGGCAAGGCUAAUCCUCCCAGGGUCAGUCGGGGGCUAAGGCGAGGCCGGGAGGCGUAGCCGACGCGCAGCAGGCAGACAUUCCUGCACCGCGCACGCGGCGCUACGACCGACGGGGCGACGGAUGGGGGUGGCUCGGCGGGGUUCUGGACGUCCCCGUGAUGGAGCGCGGCCCGCGGACCAGGGAAAUCCGGUCCGCACGAGGGCGAGGCUCCGGACGAAGCGAUUGAGCGAAGCGAGUGAGCCCGAGGUCCCUAGAAAAACCCCUAGGCAGGCGCGUGCGCGCCCGUACCGCAAACCGACACAGGUGGGUGGGUAGAACAUACCGAGGCGAUCGGGUCAACCAUGGUCAAGGAACUCGGCACAAUGGCCCCGUAACUUCGGGAGAAGGGGUGCCCGCGCGUACGUGAACGGACUUGCUCCGGGAGCGGAGGCGGGCCGCAGUGGAGAGGCCCAAGCGACUGUUUACCAAAAACACAGGACUCUGCAGAAGCCGCAAGGCGACGUAUAGGGUCUGACGCCUGCCCGGUGCCGGAAGGUCACGCGGAGGAGUUAGCCGAUUCGGCGAAGCCCCGAAGCCAAGCCCCGGUAAACGGCGGCCGUAACUAUAACGGUCCUAAGGUAGCGAAAUUCCUUGUCGGGUAAGUUCCGACCUGCACGAAAGGCGCAACGACUUGGGCGCUGUCUCGACCAUGGACCCGGUGAAAUUGCACUGGUCGUGAAGAUGCGACUUACCCGCGGAAGGACGGAAAGACCCCGUGAACCUUCACUGCAGCUUGGCAUUGGCCGCUGGUCCCGCGUGUAGAGGAUAGGCAGGAGGCAUCGAUCCGGAGGCGCCAGCCCCCGGGGAGCCGCCCUUGGAAUACUGCCCUCGCGCGACCGGCGUCCUAACCCGAGGCCGUCAACCGGCUCGGGGACCGUGCCAGGCGGGCAGUUUGACUGGGGCGGUCGCCUCCUAAAGGGUAACGGAGGCGCGCGAAGGUCCGCUCGGGACGGUCGGCAACCGUCCUUUUGAAUGCAAGAGUACAAGCGGGCUUGACUGCGAGGCCCACAAGCCGAGCAGGUGCGAAAGCAGGCUCUAGUGAUCCGGCGGCCCCGAGUGGGUGGGCCGUCGCUCAACGGAUAAAAGGUACUCCGGGGAUAACAGGCUGAUCUUGCCCAAGAGUCCACAUCGACGGCAAGGUUUGGCACCUCGAUGUCGGCUCAUCGCAUCCUGGGGCUGGAGCAGGUCCCAAGGGUACGGCUGUUCGCCGUUUAAAGCGGUACGCGAGCUGGGUUCAGAACGUCGUGAGACAGUUCGGUCCCUAUCCUCCGUGGGCGCAGGAGAAUCGAUGGAGGCUGCCCCCAGUACGAGAGGACCGGGGUGGACGCACCUCCGGUGAACCGGUUGUCGACCAACGGCACGGCCGGGUAGCCGCGUGCGGCGCGGAUAACCGCUGAAGGCAUCUAAGCGGGAAGCCGUUCCAGGGAUUAGUUCUCCUUCCGGUAAGGGCCCAGGUAGACUACCUGGUCGAUAGACGGCAGGUGCAAGGCUGGCGACAGCCUCAGCCGAGCCGCACUAAUCGCCCGAGCUCUUCCGGAA
rnacentral:rRNA from 1 species